rnacentral:lncRNA from 1 species
AGCGGAAGCUCAAGGAGAAGUUCCGCAAGCUAGAGCAAGGGGACCGCUCAGUGGCAGAGUAUGAACAAGAAUUCUCCCAUAUUAUCGAUUGUGUCCUGGAUGUUGUAAAGGAUGACCGAGACUGGGCCGAGUGGUUCUUGUGAGGACUUCAGCCGGGAAUGUACAGGGCCGUGCAAAUACUUAAGCUCACGACCUUUGCGGAGGUCUUCGAUCGAGCCCUAUGGGCGGAGCAUGGAGAUUCCCACGUUGGGGAGAAGCGUGAGGCUUUGGCUGAGUCCAAGGACAAGGGCAAGAAACGCUAAGGUGGCGGUAGUUCGGGGGGACAAACACAUUACAAGAAACCCCCGAAGUAUCCGCGCACUCAACAGAGGGGCGGUAGAGCGCGGCGAUGCAUUGUGUGGGGCGGAGACCACCCGAUCUCGCACUGUGAGCAAGACCGAGGCAAGUGCUACAAAUAUGGGCAAUCGGGGCACUUCAUUCGGGACUGCCCGGGAGGAGGAGUCUCACCUGCCCCAUCGAUUGCAUCGGCGCCGGCGAUCCCGGCACACUAUGGAGGAGCUCCACCGACGGCCGCGUCGACUGGACGCGCGAUGAUGCCGCGUCAACAUGAAGCGACGCAAUCAGGCCCGAGCGGACGGGUGUUCGCCGCUCAGGUCCAAGCUGAGGAACCUGUGGAGGCGGAAGAGCAUCGCCUCGUGGCAGGUAUGGUUUUAAUUAACGGAGUUCGCUCCAGGGCUUUAUUUGAUACAGGAGCCACGCAUUCAUUCAUAAGUAGAUCAUUCGCACGCAUGCAUGGCAUACAUAUAGAAGCGAGUGACAAGUGGCGAGUGAAGGGCCCUGGGUCGACAUUUAACACCUACUCGGAGUGUGCGUCAUGUCCCGUACAAAUAGGCGACUCGAUCAUGCCUAUCCGGACACUGGAACUCACAAAGCUUGAGGCUUACGACAUCAUUCUGGGCAUGGAUUGGCUCUCAAAAUAUCACGCAACGAUCGACUGCAAGAGCAGGGUGAUCACGUUCUGCGAGCCAGGACAAGAGGAAUUCUCAUAUCAGGCUUGUCAAAGCUCGUGCUUUGUCGCGACGGUGUCGGCGAUGAGAGCGAGGAAAUUGGUCAACAGCGGUUGUACGGCAUGUUUGGCAACUGUUGUAGAAGUGGAACGAGUAGCUCCAACAUUAGGGGAGUUAUCCGUGGUACGGGAGUUCCCGGAUGUGUUUCCUACGGAGUUGCCGGGGAUACCACCGGAUCGGGAGAUCAAGUUCGUCAUAGACUUGGUUCCCGGUACCGCACCGAUCUCAAAGGCUCCAUACCGAAUGGCGCCGGCGGAAUUGAAGGAGUUGAGGAGUCAAAUGCAAGACCUCCUCGACGAGCAAUUUAUCUGGCCAAGUGUAUCACCAUGGGGAGCCCCGGUGUUGUUCGUGAAGAAGAAAGACGGAUCGUUCCGACUCUGCGUGGACUAUCGGGAAUUAAACAGAGUCACGAUCAAGAACAAGUACCCACUACCCCGAAUCGAUGACUUGUUUGAUCAGUUGCAAGCGUUGUGUGUGUACUCGAAGAUAGACUUGCAAUCCGGCUAUCACCAGCUAAAGAUCAAACCGGAGGAUGUGCAGAAAACUACGUUCCGUACGCGGUAUGGACAUUACGAAUUCACGGUCAUGCCAUUUGGACUCACGAAUGCUCCAGCAGCAUUUAUGGACUUAAUGAACCGUGUCUUCAAGAAGUAUUUGGAUCGAUUUGUCGUGGUCUUCAUAGAUGACAUAUUGGUCUAUUCUCGUAGUGACGAGGAACAUGCCGAGCAUUUGAGGAUAGUGCUUCAAGUCCUUCGGGAGAAGCUAUAUGCUAAGCUGAAGAAGUGUGACUUCUGGCUCCGCGAGGUCGCCUUCUUAGGGCAUGUGAUUUCUGCGGGUGGAGUUUCUGUAGACUCGAGGAAAGUUAAGGCAAUCAAGGAUUGGCCGCGCCCGAUGAAUGUCACGGAGGUUCAAAGCUUCGUGGGCUUGGCGAGUUACUAUAGACGGUUUGUGGAAGGCUUUUCCAAGAUAGUGAUUCCACUCACCCGCCUGACUCAGAAAGGCACCAAGUUUGUUUGGAGUGAGGAAUGCGACCGGAGUUUCAAAGAGUUGAAGCAAAGAUUGACUUCGACUCCGGUGCUCGCUCUACCGGUGCAGGGCGAAGACUUCGUAGUCUACAGUGAUGCCUCCGAUCUUGGAUUGGGGUGUGUGUUAAUGCAAAACGGGAAGGUGAUCGCUUAUGCAUCCCGUCAGCUGAAGAGCUAUGAAAGGAACUACCCCAUUCAUGAUUUGGAGCUAGCGGCGGUGAUUUUCACCUUGAAGCUGUGGAGGCACUACCUAUAUGGUGCCCACUGUGAGAUCUAUACCGACCACAAAAGUCUGAAAUAUCUAUUUACCCAGAAGGAGUUGAAUAUGCGUCAACGGCGGUGGUUGGAACUGUUAAAGGAUUACGAUGUUGAUAUCCUCUACCACCCCGGGAAGGCAAAUGUGGUUGCGGAUGCGCUGAGUAGGAAGUCGGCGAAGAACCUCACUUUUGAUGUUACCCAACAAACACCCUUGUGGCUGGAUAUGGAGCGAUUGGACCUUGAGGUGGUCGCUCCCGAGGUUCCAACUCAGUUGAUGGCACUCGUUGUCCAACCGACCUUGUUGGAGAGGAUCAAAGAUCUGCAACCAGCAGACCCAGAACUCCAAAAGGUGCGGUGAAACAUCGAGGAAGGUCAUGGCGGCGAUUUUAAGGUAGACGCCGAUGGUGCGCUUCGAUUUCGAAACCGAUGGUGUGUGCCGAAGAAUGGAGAGCUUCGUGAAUUGAUUCUACAAUAAGCACAACGAUCUCCAUAUGCCGAUCACCCGGGCAGCACCAAGAUGUACCAAGGACUAAAAAUGCACUAUUGGUGGCCGGGAAUGAAAGGCGAUAUCGGACGCUUUGUGGCGAAGUGCUUAACAUGCCAACAAGUGAAGGCCGAGUGUCGAUUUUUAGCGGGAAAGCUUCAAAGCCUACCAAUCCCCGUUUGGAAAUGGGAGGAUAUAUCGAUGGACUUCGUGGUCGGCUUGCCUCGCUCAACGGGCGGCCACGAUGCAAUUUCGGUAAUUAUGGACCGAUUGACCAAGUCGGCUCACUUCUUGCCGAUCCACACCACGUGGUCGGGUGACAAGUUAACGCAGGUACAUCUUGACGAAAUAGUGAGACUACAUUGGGUGCCGAAAUCGAUCGUGUCGGAUCGUGACCCCCGGUUCACUUCACACUUCUGGAAGAGCCUGCAGGAAGCCCUUGUCACACGACUCGACUUUAGCACUGCAUUUCAUCCUCAGACCGAUAGACAAACAGAGAGAACUAUUCAAACUCUGGAGGACAUGUUGCGAGCGUGUGUCAUUGACUAUAAGAGAAGUUGGUGUGAUCACCUACCUAUGGCCGAGUUCGCCUACAACAACAGUUAUCAUGCUAGUGUGGAGAUGGCACCAUUCGAGGCUCUUUAUGGGCGGACGUGUCGAUCUCCUAUACACUGGAGUGAUGUAGGUGAGCGUGCUGAGUUCGGCCCGGAUGUGUUGCGAGAAGCGGAAGAGAAAGUCCGCCUUGCUCGCAAGAGAUUGCUCACGGCGCAGUCGAGACAGCAAAGCUAUGCAGAUAGGCGCCGUCGAGAUAUAGAAUUCGCGGUGGGCCACCGCGUAUUCUUGAAAGUUUCACCGAUGCGGAGUGUGAAGCGAUUUGGAGUGCGGGGAAAGUUGAGCCCCCGAUAUAUUGGGCCAUACGAAAUAUUGGAGCGAGUCGGCACGGUGGCCUACCGACUUGCUUUACCACCGAAGCUUGCGGAUGUGCAAAGUAUGUUCCAUGUCUCUAAUCUCCGCAAGUAUAUUCACGACCCCGAGCAUGCAAUGCUAUAUGAACCGCCGGAACUUUAAAGAGACUUGAGCUACGAGGAGUUUCCGGUAGGGAUUAUCGACCGAGAGGUGCGAAAUUUGAGGAAUCGAGAAAUUUCCUAUGUGAAGGUCAGGUGGAGCAAUCACGAGGAUCGCGAAGCCACCUGGGAACUCAAGGAUCUGAUGAGAAAACACCAUCCUCAUCUAUUUGAGGAGUAAGGUAUGAAUUUAAGUUAAAAUAAAGAAUUGAGUUAGUUUCGAGGACGAAACUCCUUUUAAGGAGGGGAGGAUGUAAGAAAGUGAAUUCUCGAAAUCCGAGAAUUGUACUUCAUCCACGAUCGACUAAUUGUCGAGAGAAUACCCUUUGUGAGAGUUAAGAAUGUCCAAAACACAAAAAGUGCUUUGGAGUUGAGUCCACGAGAGCGAAUGAUGCAAACAGCAUCAUUGGGCUGAUGUUGCUCUCGGGGACCGGUCCCUAGAGGUGAGAGACCGGUCCCCUUGGCUGGGUGUUGUGGGGUUGUUUGAUGCAAUCGGUCCCUGCCAGGGAGGGACCGGUUCCCGAACGUGGUCCCAGCGAGAAAAUGCCGAAAUUGGCUAAGUCCUAAAAAUUGAGCUCUCGGGGAUCGGUCUCUCAGGCGAGGACCGGUCUCCCGAGGACCGGUCUCCCGAGGAGAGACCGGUUCCCGAACGCGUGCGCCCGAGGGGAAGCCCUAGGGGACCGGUCACAAGUCGGGGAGACCGGUCCCUCUGGGCGAAAACUGCCCAAUGAGGGCAGUGCACAGGAGUGAAAGUUGAGGGAUUUUUAUGCAAAAUGGCUUUUAUUUGAGUAGGCUGAGCCCUCUCUCUCCCUCACACUCAUCUCAUUUCACUCUCUCUCACUCUCUUUCUCUCUUGCUCUCUCUCUCUCUAGAAAAGAACACGAUGUGAUUACCCUUCUCCUCUCCCUCUACCUCCACGAGUUUCGGAAGGAGAACUAGAGGAAGAAGAAGAGGAAGGAAUAGAAGGAGAAAAAAAAGGAAGGAGAGGAAGAAUAAGAAGAAGAAGAGGAAAGNNNNNNNNNNNNNNNNNNNNNNNNNNNNNNNNNNNNNNNNNNNNNNNNNNNNNNNNNNNNNNNNNNNNNNNNNNNNNNNNNNNNNNNNNNNNNNNNNNNNNNNNNNNNNNNNNNNNNNNNNNNNNNNNNNNNNNNNNNNNNNNNNNNNNNNNNNNNNNNNNNNNNNNNNNNNNNNNNNNNNNNNNNNNNNNNNNNNNNNNNNNNNNNNNNNNNNNNNNNNNNNNNNNNNNNNNNNNNNNNNNNNNNNNNNNNNNNNNNNNNNNNNNNNNNNNNNNNNNNNNNNNNNNNNNNNNNNNGGUAACCUAGAUAGAUGAGGAUUGGGUCGGAACGUGGAUCCUAUGAUGCGAAAGAUAGAGAUGAACCCGAUGGGGGUGCUGAUGACAUAGAAAGUAUUGCUAAUGUUAAAGAACAUACGAGUGGCAUCCAAACAUUGAAUGAUGACGAGUGGCAUUAAUGUAGUGUAUAUGACACUAGAGGUUUCAGGACCUAGGGAUAGGUGGAUCCCUUAGAAAAUACCUUGUGAACAAUGAAUUUAGACAAGCUAAAUAGCAUUGCAUGAAUGCCGGGAACAAAUGAUCCCGCGAGAGAUGUUGACUCUAGUUAUAGAACAUCCUCACUUGGAGAGGAUUUGAUUGGGUUGUGAUCCCUAGACAUAGUGCAUCCUCACUUGAAGAGGAUUGGAUUGGGUUGUUGACCCUAGUGAUAGGGUAUCCUUACUUGGAGAGAAUAGAUCUAGCUCAUAGUCUGCGUUUGGGAUGGUAUAGCCAUCCAAUCCCCACAUGGAGGGGAUUGUCGUCGAGUACUCCGGAGUGUCUCGCGACUAGGACCACUUGGAGGUUCGGACCACAUGGAGGUCCGGACCACAUGGAGGUCCGCAGACGGUCUCGGGCUUGGGUGCACAUGGAGCUCCCUCCCCACUUUGGGAUUGUAAGGUGAGUUAUGCAAAUUGGGUAACUGGAAAGAGUAAAGGUUUAAUAAUGUCGUUGAACAUUACUAUUCGAACAUGGAUCGAAUUUGUUAGCAUGGUAGCAAACCUUUAUUAUAUGAUGCAUGCAUUCAUAUUCAUAAUUAUGGGUAUAGUAGCAUAGUUUUCCUACUAUUGCAUUUACAGUUUUCAGAUAUAUAUCUAUCUAUCUAUCUGUUGUUACUUGUGCCCACUUGGACCUAGUGGGGAGAUCGGCAGAGUCGGCGACCGAGCCCACUGGGAACUAUAGAAGAUAGUUCUCACCCCACUCUAUUGCCAGUGGUAGGUACAGGGCUGCCGAGGGAGGACCGCAGCAAGGGCAUCGCGACCGAUCAGUGAGACCGUGGUAGAUAGUAGCUUUCCAUUUUGCAUUAGUUCACCUAUGUAUUUGAGAGAUUCAUUGUAGGUGAGGACUUGGAGAGCUAUGUGUUUUGAGAUGAGAAAUGUAAUCAUUUAAAGGGAUUGAUGUAAAUGAAAACGAUGAAAACUAUUGUAAUAGUUAGUAAAGUACUCUCUUUAUUUCAUAUGCUUUAUCUUGUGGAUUACUUGCUCUUGUAUUGUCGGCACUGUUUGUGCCCUUAUGAAUGUGUAUGUUUAGAAUUUAAGUUCCUGGGUAAAUUCUUGUACACAUUCUUGUUGUUGAGCCUUGGGCGAACAGGGGAGGUACUGUCCGUUCGGCAGUCCGCCGCCGCGGCCGAACCGUGCCAAAUGGGUAAUGGUUUCGGGGCGGGGCGUGACAGUGGGUGAAUAGGUGAAAUAGCCAAAAACCACAGAUCUCGAUGCGUUAAAAGUAAAUGCGGAAAAUAAAAAACACACCGAGAUUUACGUGGAAAAACUCCAAACUCGGAGUAAAAAACCCACGGGACCACACGCGAUAAACAAUUCACUAAGAGAAAAGAUUACAAGGUGAUUACCGACUCCACGGACUCUACCUCUCUUAACCUCCUAUGAAUCUCGCGCAAUCCUCCGAGUUGUCCACGCCCUCAUGUUCGAAUCCACGAACGCCUCACACACGUCUGAAUCCACGAACGCCACUCGAAUCCGCGAGCCCACGAUCCGAAUCCACGAACCGCCGUUAAUCACGCCGAAUCCACGACGCCUCCAUGAAGAACAUCAUGUGUAUGGUGAUCCUUCGCUUAGAGUAUCACAGAAAACCAAGGACGACGACUCCAAGCGAAGACCAGAUCAAAUCGACAUAUAGCGAAUGCGAAACGAUACCUCGAUUUGAUCUAAAGAGGCUAAUUUGUAGAAAAUAGGUUUAGAACGAAAUACUAGCCUCUAGGGUUCUUUAAUUGUGUAUUCUUAUGAUAGAUCAUCGAUUAGAGAACCCCUAUAGCUUAUUUAUAGACUUUAGAAUCAAAACGGAGUAGGAUUAGAAAGUUUCUUUCCAUAUUCAGCACCUUGUACCGGUACACGGGAAGCUGUCUAGGGUACAGCAUGACGGAAGAUUUUUCUGCGAAGCUUCUGUACCCUGAACAGACUGCAGCUUGUUCCGGAACAAGGCUUGUACCGGUACAGCCAUGAUGGUUGUACCGGAACAACCAUUGUAUUUCCCUACGACAGUAGCGGUUGUCUGUACCGGUACAGAAAAACCCUUGUACCGGUACAACAAUGCAAUUUUCGCUGAAAAUGCAUUGUUUCGAGUUUUACAAGCUCUUAGAAACUCUCUAAUCAAUCACAACUUGAAAAUUAUGAUUCUAAGAUCUAUAAUUAAGUAUGAAUCACCAUAAACAAAAUUUAAAGCUUACCUAUGUAUCGUGAUUCAAGUUUUGCGUGUUUUGCGUCCUUUCCGAUUCUUCGAAGUCUUGGAUUCUUCGAUCUUCAAUACUCCGCUCCGGACUUCUUCAGGACUCCGACUCGACCCAUGAAACUUGCCAACACAUAGGACCUAACAGAUUGGGUUGUGGACCCUAGUGAUAGUGCUUCCUCACUUGGAGAGGAUUCGAUUGGGUAUUGACUCUACUUGUAGAGCAUCCUCACUUGGAGAGGACUUGAUUGGGUUGUUGACCCUAGAUGUAGGGCAUCCUCACUUGGAGAGGAUAGAUCUAGCUCACAGUCUGCGUUUGGGGUGGUAUAGCCAUCCUAUCCCCACAUGGAGGGGAUUGUCAUCGAGUACUCCGGAGUGUCACGCGACUAGGACCACUUGGAGGUCCGGACCACAUGGAGGUCCGUAGACGGUCCCGGGCUUGGGUGCACUUGGAGCUCCCUCCCCAUUGGGAUUGAAGGAGGAGUUAUAGGCGAGCCCUAGGGCCUCGCCACAGAUUGGGUAAAUGGAAGAUUAAAGGUUUAAUAAUGUCAUUGAACAUUGCUAUUCGAACAUGAAUCGAAUUUGUUAGCAUGGUAGCAAACCUUUAUUAUAUGAUGCAUGCAUUCAUAUUCAUGAUUAUGGGCAUAAUAGCAUUGUUUUCCUACUAUUGCAAUUACUGCUUGAGAUAUCUAUCUAUCUAUCUACCUGUUGUUGCUUGUGCCCACUUGGACCUAGUAGGGAGAUUGGCAGAGUCGGCGGCCGAGCCCACUGUGAACUAUGAAAGAUAGUUCUCACCCCACUCUAUUUCCAGUGGUAGGUACAGAGCUGUCGAGAGAGGACCGCGGAAAAGGCAUCGCGCCCGACCAGUGCGAUCGUAGUAGUAUAGUAGCUUUCCUUUUUACAUUAGUAAACCUAUGUAUUUGAGAGAAUCAUUGUAGGUGAGGAUUUGGAGAGCUAUGUGUUUUGGAUGAAUGAUGUAUUCAUUUAAAGAAAAUGAUGUAAAUGAAAAUGACGAAACUAUUGUAAUAGUUAGUAAAGUACUCUCUUUAUUUCACAUGCUUUAUCUUGUGGAUUACUUGCUCUUUGUAUUGUUGGCACUGUUUGUGCCCUUGUGAAUGUGUAUGUUUAGAAUUUAAUUUUCUGGGUAAAUUCUUGUACACAUUCCUGUUGCUGAACCUUGGGUGGACAAGGGAGGUGCUGUCCGUUCGGCAAUCUGCCGUCGCGGCCGAACCGUGCCAAAUGGGUAGUGGUUUCGGGGCGGGGCGUGACAGCCUUUGUGGUAUAAGAGCAGCAACAGCAAGUAAAGAGAGAAAGUUUAAGAUAACCUAGGAGACCCUAGAUUGGUAAGCCCUAAGGUUAUAGGUACGUGAGCGGAACGUGAACCUAUAGCGUUGGCGGAAGUUAAUUCGAUUGGGUCGAAGUUGGUAAUAUGUCUCUAGUUAUGAUUAGAGACGGAUUCAAGUGGUAUGAUUUCUUGUCUUGAGGUGGUUGUGUCGGCGGCCGACGACAUGAUACCAAGAGUCUAGAACGAGUGCACUUGUGUGCUUCCGCCCGAUUCUGUUGUUGAGUCGUCAUGUGUCGUAAUGGCGACGAGGUAAUUGGUUAAGAUGACUGACCAAGUAUUUGCGUUUCAGGGGCAAAUGUCUCCAAGAUGCUACACGCGUAUAUCUGCCCCAGCACCGAUUCCUGAGAUGCCCGAGCAGGAGGAACCGACCGUGAUAGAUCGGUUGCAAGCGCAGGUGACCGCGCUGACCAAUAUGGUGCAACGCCAGAAGACCCGAUUCGAGCGGCUCCAGGAUCUAUUGGAGCGGCAGAUUGCGACGGCGUUCGCGAUGGUGAAUGAGGGCGGUGGUCCGCCCGCACCCUCGACUCAUAUACCCGGAGCGACAGAGGGUGAGGGCAUAGCGGCGGUUCCGGUGACGGCACGCCCACCGCCAACGAUCGUACCACAGGCGGCAUCAGGAUCGGCUACACCCGAUGUGUCGGCAGAAGACGUGGAGGGAGAGCGCGCAUUAGCGGCUCUUAUCAAGUUCAACAAGCUCCAUCUGCCAACCUUCGAGGGCGAGAAGGUGGUACCGGAGAUGGUCGAGUCUCGGAUUGACUCGAUGGAAACACUUUUCGAUGAUUUGCGUACCUUGGAAAGGGACAAGGUGUACCUCACCACCCAGUGCUUCGAAAAGGCGGCAAAGGUUUAGUGAAAGCGCGUCAAACGGGAUCGGCUUCCAGGCCUUCCACCAAUGUUGUGGGAGGAGUUCAAGCGGGAGAUGUUCGCCAACUAUUUCCCCGAUACACUGAAGCGGAAGCUCAAGGAGAAAUUCCGCAAGUUGGAGCAAGGGGACCGCUCAGUGGCGGAGUAUGAACAUGAAUUCUCCUAUAUUAUCGAUUGCGUCCCGGAUGUUGUAAAGGAUGAUCGGGACCGGGUCGAGUGGUUCUUGCGAGGACUUCGGCCGGGAAUUUACAAGGCCGUGCAAAUACUCAAGCUCACGACCUUUGCGGAUGUCACGUCCCGCUAUCGCCAGUUUGGUCGAUCCGGGCCCGUCCACAGACGCCGAACGAACAGCAUCUCCUCUAUUCGCCCAAGGCUCAACAACAACAAGUACAUGUAUAAAGAAAUAAACAAUUCCCAGGAUCACAUUUCAAUAUACAUGGCUUGCACGAUGGCAAGCAACAAACACAAGUGAUAGUAAAGCUAGCUAAACAUGAAAUUUCACUGUAAUUUAAAACUUUAAACUAACUUGCAUAACUGAAACAUUUAGUUAUAUACAUGCACUUUAUUACAUUCAUUUACAUGUCUCUGUACAUCGAAAUAGAUGAUACAUGAACUCAAACUGGUAACCACUAAAACUCGGGUGUCCACUAGCUAGGCUGCUGGGCUCUUGCCUCGAUCCUCGGCCACAACGCUCGCACUGAAACCUGUAUGGUUAGUGGUGUGAGAACUACAAGAAAGUUCCCAGUGGGUUCGGCUGCCGACCUCGCCGACUCACCCACUAGGUCUACUCAGGCAUAUGUAGGCAAGAAAGGUAAACAGAUAGUAACCAAAUAUAAAUGUAACUACUACAAUGCCUGUACAAAGCUGAAAGAAGCAAUAUAUAUGGAAACUGUAAAUAAGCAUGCAUGCUUUUCAUUAACUUUACCCAAUCUUUUGGUUAACCCACUGGUUAACAAUAACUCACUGACACUAUCCCAAACAUCGGGGAGACGCAACCUGCACCCGACGGGACUGUCAACUGGGGGAGACGCAACCUCCUGGUCCAGUAAAGAUGACUACUCCGGAGCUCAUCGUUCAAGGAGGAGCGACCUCACUUGAACCAAACAAAUGUGAGUAUGAUCUGAUCCCCCUUUAGAGGAUUCAACUGACAAACCUGUCAUACUUUACUCGAACUAGCUCUUUAUGCUAGUUGUAUAACUCCAAUGUCGAUGCUAACCAAAUCUCUAGUCAUAUGUCACCAAGUUCACUAUUGUUAUAGUCCAUGCAUUCAUAGGGUUCUAUGUCCACAUUCUAUGUUCAUAUGUUCUUACUAUCAAUAAGAAAUCACACGUUCAAUAUCACUUGCAUAAUACCAAUGCCCAUACCCUAUAAUGCAUGAAAACAGAAGUAAAUAUGCUCAAUGAAUAGCAUAGACAUAAAAGGUGAUUCAAAGACUUCAGAUAGCACCACCCACCUGCAGUGGUGUCAACAACUAGAGUCCACGUCUCGAAGUGAAUCCGCAAAGGUAUCACGCGACUCAAUGCAACUAGAGCCGAAUUGGCUUCUAAUGCAAUUAACGCUUCGCCGACCUGUCGGAAUGUCAAUUUAGACUUUUGUACAAGUUUAACUUUCAUUUAUGAAGUAAUAAAAGAGGUUAAACUAGGGUCAAAUUCUCAUAUUUUACAAGUUAGCAUUUCGACUCCACCUUGUCUAUAUAGUAUCAACGUAUACAUAUACAUAGUAUAAGAUUGGUUUUAUAAGCUCAUGAUACAUAGAAACUUCGAUACUUGAGAAGUCCCUUACUUAGCAUUCCCUUACAGCAAGUAUCCUUAUUCUACUUCAGAAAUUAAGGUUAACUUAUUCCAAAUUUCAUCCCCAACAUCCUGCCAUAUACAUUCAUUUGUACAUCAUACAUAUAUGCAGUUUUCAGCAUAUAUAUGCAAAUUUCAGCAUAUAUAUGUAGCUUUCAGCAUAAUUAAGGUCCCUGUAGGCUAAUUUAUCCAUGAUUUAACCUCAAUUCAUUGCGUCCUUGACCUAUUUUCAGCUCACAUUAAAAUUUGCAUCAUGCUGAAUUCUGCACUAUGCUGAAAUUUUCAGCACUAAUACUUCCCUUUCAACAUUAUAUAAGUAUUUACUUAAAGUAACUUUCAUAAUACUUAAAAUUUCAGCUCACUAUUAAUUUCAGCAUCAUGCUGAAAUCUGACUUCAUGCUUAAUUUUCAGCAUUGCACUACCUCUUUAAGCAGCUACUUAAUCAAUUUAAUUUCAGCUUUAUUAAUCACUAAUUCUUGCUGAAAUUUGCUUUUGUCUCAUUCUUUUUCAGCUCAUUCAAACCUGCAGUAACUAUAAGUGACCUUACUUUAUCUCAGUUACCCAUUGGAUUCUCAAUUAGCAUUCUCUAUACUAGCUAAUUCAAUUUCAAACAAAGUGAAAUCAGAAUCACCUUAAUUUGCUGCCCAAUUAGUUUGUUUUCAGCUCACAUUAAACCUCGCACAAGAUUGAAUUCUGGAUCAAGCUAACAUUUCAGCAUUUAUUCCUUUCCUCUCAACAUCUCAUUCCAAAGCUUCAAUGUGAGUGUUCAGAAGUUCACACAGCAGCAGCCACCACACCUGAUCUCUUAAGCAGCAGCUCCACAAUGGCAACCUGCUGCUCAACCACCAAGUCAACCUUAUUUAGUUUCUUCAAUAUCUAAGUCUUCUCAGCUGAAGCUAUCACUUAGUCCCUCUGCUGCAGUCCAAGACCCACUCUCAAUUAACCACUAUUCCUGCAUUAACUUUAAUUGCUUAGAAUCACUUUCAAGGCAGUUAAUCACAAUUAAUCAGGAAUUAGCAUCCAUUUACCCGAGUUUAAACUUCUUCAAAGUUUUCUUCUCAGCUACACUUGCUACACAAUAGCACUAGCCCUUUCAGCUCCAAUGCUGAAAUUUCAGCAAUAUAAUUUCAUAUAGGUCUCAUUGCCGUAGCGAUUCAUUAACUAGAACCCAUAAUAACUAAAUUACCUUAAUUAGCCGCUGACUUAACUUGCUUACUGCUUCAAAUGGUCUAUUCCUGCAAUCCUGCAGCAUCAACAACAGGAAUACUCUUAUUCCUUCAGCUGUCCUCUUUACUCGGGCAGCACCACAACAUCAGCAUCCCAGCUGUCAAAAAUCAUCACUCGAAGGCUCAGUUAUCAACGUGAAUCACAAUUAUCAAUCCGAUUUAAUCAGAGAGAGGUAUUACUCUUACCAAAAAUCGAAGUUUCCUUGCUUCGAAGUCUUUUCCCUGCUGAUUUCUUGCUCAGUCACUCAAUCCGAUCAAACUUCUCGAAGCUAUCAGUUCAAACAGCAGGAAACCCUUAAAUUGCCCAACUCUAAGGCAACUAAUUUAACAAUAAUCCAAUACUAGAAAUAUCUUACCUUAAUUAGAUAUUUCUUUUUCUUUCUCUUUCUUUCUUUCUUUUCCCUGCAGCUGAGCUGCUGCUGCUGUUAUUGAUGCUGCUGCUGCUGCUGCUGUUUUCAGCAGCAGGGAAAAGGGCUGCUGCUGCUGUUUUCAGCAGCAGGAAAAGAGGGCUGAGGGGGAGAAAAAUAAAUCCUCACCUUUUUCUUCUACUUCUUCUUGUUCUUCUUCUUCUCUCUUUCCCUCUCUCUUUUCUCUUUCUCUCUCUCUCUACGUAUGGAAGGGAAGGGCAGAGGAUAAGGAUGGCUGAGGUCUCCUGCUGGUUAGUGGAAUUCCACUAACUAUGCAUAAUUACCAUAAUGCCCCUCGACUUAUUCCGUUUAGUCGCACGGAUUAGAUACCUUUCGCAGGCCCUUCCAAAAGUCCGAUUGAGCUCAAAUUUGACAGGCAUGUUCGGUUUUACUUAACUAGUCCAAAGAAAUUUUAACAUUUCAGUUCCGACCCCAUUUGGUCACUGCGAACUGUACCGAACUGAAAUCUUGAUCGGAUAGCUUCCGGACUCAAUUUCUCUCUCUACGAGUGUCAGAAUAAUCUGAAACUUUAAAUCUAGCCUCAUGAACAUAGUCCUGACAUCUCCGCCAAUUUUCAUAAUUUUCUGACACUGUACAUUUUCUGCUAAUUUCUCAGUCCCGUUCUUUACAGAAAAUUCCAAUUCUUCUGUUUUCGCUCCGAUUCCACUCAAACACUUCCAAAACAUACCAAGGGACUUUCACAAGCUACCAAUUUAAUUUGGAAGCAAUUCCUUUUCAUUUUGACAUCAUAUGGCUCAACUUGACCAAAUCGACUAAAAUUUCAGCUUUCGAGUUGUAAUGACAAUUGGAGUUCUUUAGCCACUCCAAUUCCAUUCUUAUCUAUUCUCACACUUCCAAAAUGUGCCAAGGACUGAUCUCAGGCUUCUAAUUAAGUUUAGGAACCCUUAAUUUCCAUUUUAGCACUAUUGCGACCCCUUGAUCACAAUUAACUUAAGCUGAAUUUCCAAUGCAUUACAGCGGAGGUCUUUGAUCGAGCCCUAUGGGCAGAGCACGGAGAUGCCCACGUUCGGGAGAAGCGUGAGCUUUUGGCCGAGUCCAAGGACAAGGGCAAGAAACGCCAAGGCGGCGGUAGUUCGGGGGGACAAACACGUUACAAAAAAUCCCCGAAGUAUCCG